AUGAACACUUCCAGACGGUCUACUGUUACUGGCGAAAUAGACAAGUACCAGUUUGUUUGCAACAAGUUUCGCAAACCCAAAAAUGAUGACCACGGUACUGUGACCGCACCUAGCGUUGAAAUGCUAGAAGAUCCUUCUGAAGGUGGGAAUGAUGAUGAUGGAGAAGACAAUGUAAUUGUGUUUGCUGAUGAUGUUGCUGACAAAAAGAAGAAGAGGAAGAAACGGAAAAGAGAAAAGAUAAUACAGACUGGGUGCAAAGCCAAGAUGAUAGUAAAAUUGAUUGAUGGCCGUUGGGAGGUCACUUAUUUUAUUGCUGAGCAUAAGCAUCCAUUGAUUGAGAAACCUUCAUUGACUAAAUAUUUGCGAUCGCACCAGGGCAUACCGCCAGAAGAGAAGUUGUUCCUAAAAAACCUUCAUAAUUGCAACUUAACUACAGGUGAGUGGGUGCCAGUAGAAAAAAGUUGCUUGGAUUCAGUGUUUUACUGCUUUGCAUAUGGUAGGCGAUAA
rnacentral:rRNA from 1 species